rnacentral:rRNA from 1 species
UACGGGGGGGGCAAGCGUUGUUCGGAAUUACUGGGCGUAAAGGGUUCGUAGGUGGCCAACUAAGUCAGACGUGAAAUCCCUCGGCUCAACCGGGGAACUGCGUCUGAUACUGGUUGGCUUGAGUGCAGGAGAGGAACGCGGAAUUCCAGGUGUAGCGGUGAAAUGCGUAGAUAUGUGGAGGAACACCGAUGGCGAAGGCAGCCCCCUGGGAUGUGACUGACGCUCAUGUACGAAAGCGUGGGGAGCAAACAGG